CAGAACAUCACGGCAUUUGUUGUGGUAAAUAGUUCAGUGGCAAAGCGCCCGUUCCAUCUGCGGACCUCCAAAUGACCCUGAAUGCAGAGGUACAGAAAAGCUUUCCAUGCUCAUCCAGCCCAUCUCUGGUUACAUGAUAAGAAACGAGGCUGACACAGCAAUAUAAAUGUGACUACUCGCUAAGAAUGACCGCGGGUCAGGCCACACGAUCCAGGGGAUACCCGGUAACAGAAGCUGUCAUAUUUAUCGCUGGCGUCUUCAGAGCCAGCUUGAGUAGCUGGAGACAGAGCACACAAAAGGACUAUUCAGUGCAGCCCAUGGUCUGAAAUGAAACAGAUGCGCUGUGGAAGUUUGCAAACUCCCCGGCACAGAAGGUUGGCAGAUCUGCGCUCUGUAACCAGGGCCCAUCUUCUUGGCAGAGCGCUCCGCACCCCGGUGCCAGUGGCACUGCUCCUGCUGUGCAGACGAAGGGCGGUCUGGAGGACAAAGCACUCAGCUUGGCAGUUAAAGGCAGGGAGAACUAAACCAAGGCUGAGAGCCCACUCGAGCUUUUAAGCCCUCCCACCAAUUUUGGAUGGUAAGGGCUUUCUUCCUGUGUUGUAACAUUCUCUCUGGGAUUAAACUUGGCCCAUACAACAUGUGACUCAUCUGACUGCAAGUCCUUGGGCAUGUGCUGCAGGUUUGGUUGCUGCUCAUCGCUGACGACCCAUCCUACAACCUCAGAGCCCAAUGCAACACAUUACACUGGGACUUUUGCUGAAGGGGUAGGAAGAAAAUGACAGCAUCUGCCUAACGCUAAAUUUUCAUGCUUAAUUAAGGACUUGAAAAAUAAGUCAGUUUUCUGAGCAGGAUGGUGGGUGAAAAAUAAAAGAAAGUGAGUUUUUAAUGAUUUCAGAGAAACACGAGCCCAUUCUCUCGUCACUGUGCACCCUUGCAGCCAGGAAUUUCAUGUUAGAAAUUCGUUGCUAUGGAACUCAUGUUAUCUGCAGCAUGGAGCACUGCUGAUGGCCAAGCUAAUCCCAGGUGGCACUCCUCUGCCUUCACUGAUGUAAAACAGAUUCACUGCUUUCAGGUUUGCCUUUCAUUCUACCUGACUUCCUGCGUUCCAGAAGGUAACUCCUUUUUCUGCUCCUGUCUCUGAUUAGUUCUUUGUGUUACCUCUACAUGAUGAGAUUAUUCAAUACUGAACCCAACCUGCUGGUCUUCAUUCUCCUUCUGUAACCUGCACAAGCACCAGCACCCCACCAAAACUCCCUUCUGACACAGCAUUGCCUUCAGAGUUAGUGUGAAACUCACAGGUGAGCUCAAUUUUAGCUGUAAUGAGGCACAAGAUGUAGCAGGAGCUAACUGAAAGAAUAAGAAUUCAAAGAAUAGAAACAGGGAAAAAAAUCAACUGUGCAGAAGUAAUGGAUUUGUGAGCCUAGCAACAGGCUACGAGGUCUUCUAGCUCUUAAUUAUCACUUCAAAUCAUAAUUAUCAAAGGUCUUCCAAUAGAAAGAAAAAAAAAAAGAUAAUCACUUCCACUGACUGAAUGCUGAAUAUCUCACCUGGAAGCAGAUAAGCAGAUCCCCCCCGAGGUCGUUUGCCAGUGGGAAGGAGCAACCAUGAACUGGGAAAGCAGCUUCUGUUGUCUGGUUCAGAGAAGGGACUUCACCAGUACUGGCAGACCCUGAAAGAGAAGGAAAUUCUUGCUCAGUGGUGGAAUUAGAAGCGAUGGGAGGCCAUGCUGGGAGGAAGUACUGCACACCAAGUUGGGAGGAAACAUUGGACACCACGUUGGGAGGAAGCACUGGACGUGCCUGGGGGAAGGAAGGCCUGGUGUAGGGAUGCAGACAGGCUGCAUGGUUGGGCUGAGGCCAGCUGUAGGAGGCUCAACAAGACCAAGUGCCAACUUUCAGAUUCACCCUCCUAACGCUGACGGUGCUGACUGAGUGCAGCUCCGAGCUCACACUUCUCCUUUCAUUGUGACCAGACUGAUGUGCGUGUCACUCUCAAUCUCUUAUAUUCCACAGCCCUCCUUUAAAAACAAUCAAACAAUCACAACGUAGGAAUUAGAGACGCUUAAACAGAAUUAUGGAAAGUAAACACACAUACCUUCUGUGCCGCUGGGUUGCUGUAAAACACUGCUUUAUUCCUUCUCCCUCAGCCAACAUUCACCUACAUGGGACAAAAAAAAAUUUAAAUUCAAAUGUUACAUCUGGUUGCUUACCAACACAAGGUUUGUUUACAAACGAAAACGUCUUUGGCGCAGUUUGACCCAAAGCCAAGUGAAGUUCGAAGAUUUGGAAACAGAACCAUUAGCAGACUUCAGCUCACACUGCACUACAAAUGUGGCUCAGCUUAAGAAUCCAUUGCAACUACAAACUGCUCUCCCUGUUCUGUUAUUGUUCUCCUGCUAUAUCCAAACAGAAUUUCCCUUGUUGCAGCUAUGAUCUUAAUUAAUGCCCUUAGUACUGAGGUACUAAUUAAAUAAAAGCACUGUUACAUACACUAGGUAAAGCAAGGCAUGCUGGUACAAACUGCCCAGCAUCAAAUAUUAGGGACAGAGCUGCAAAUACAACAUCAGGGCCCAAAUUCCCCAUCUUCUGUCACCUUUUAGACCAAACAGCCUCUGAUGAAGUGCCAGAGAGGAAAAUACGAGCAGAACCUCUGCUUAGGCUUCUUCUUUCUAGCUGUAGCAGAGCUCCAUGCAGGGAAGGAGUGCAAUCACACGGGGCCAGAUGUUCAGCACAUCAAAAUCCAUCAACUCCAGCGCCUUCAGUGAAGCUAUGCCAAUUUACAUCAGUUGAUGGUGUGACCUAUAUUACGAAAACUUGCUUGAAGCAGCUAAGGAAUAUAACCCUGAUUUAUUCCAAAUACAUUAUAUUUAGCGCCGUCACUUCUCUCUUUCAUGCCAACAUGCAAGCACAGGAGACAGACACAUUUGGAUCCUCUCAGCUGGGAAUCGUGUUCUUGCAACACUCCUAGAUGAUGCACAUACUGUCUCUAUUUGUGUUCACCCUUUCAGAUGGCAUGCUGCCCACAAAAGAAGCUGAUUAGCGCUUGCCCUGGGCUAUCAAGGCAAGGCAAUGGUAUGUUUAGAUCAGCAAACUGUAUAACAAUAUAAAUGUCAUCUCUUCUACUAGAAGCCUUGGCAGUAUCUGUAUCUUGUACUUCGUUGCAUGUAUGUGCCAAAAAGAAACCCAAGGACACACAAGAAAGACAGGCAUGGGAUUCACCAGCCCUCCCCAUUGCCAAAACAUGCUGUACAGCAGUGGGUGCCUCAUUAAUCCCCAAAGACCAUCUACUGGGUGUCAGAUUGUAGGUAACAUGAGCACCACUAGCACAUAUACAUAUAGCCUUUUUUGUUCAGCCAGGCUCACAAGCAGAAAAUGAACCACAAACAGUGUGUCUGGCACAGUUCAAGACACGAUCUGUACACUUGCCCAGAAAAGAUGGCAUUCAGCCUAAACAGAAUAGCCCUGGGUGGUCACUGGCGGGUUGUGCAACAUCUCCACUGCU
ensembl:lncRNA